rnacentral:rRNA from 1 species
GACGAACGCUGGCGGCGUGCUUAACACAUGCAAGUCGAACGGAAAGGCCCUGCUUUUGUGGGGUGCUCGAGUGGCGAACGGGUGAGUAACACGUGAGUAACCUGCCCUUGACUUUGGGAUAACUUCAGGAAACUGGGGCUAAUACCGGAUAGGAGCUCCUGCUGCAUGGUGGGGGUUGGAAAGUUUCGGCGGUUGGGGAUGGACGCGCGGCUUAUCAGCUUGUUGGUGGGGUAGUGGCUUACCAAGGCUUUGACGGGUAGCCGGCCUGAGAGGGUGACCGGCCACAUUGGGACUGAGGUACGGCCCAGACUCCUACGGGAGGCAGCAGGGGGGAAUAUUGCACAAUGGGCGGAAGCCUGAUGCAGCAACGCCGCGUGCGGGAUGACGGCCUUCGGGUUGUAAACCGCUUUCGCCUGUGACGAAGCGUGAGUGACGGUAAUGGGUAAAGAAGCACCGGCUAACUACGUG